GCGGCUUUUUUUAUGAAUAGUUUCAAUCAAAAUUCCAUCCAUUGUAGCUAGUGAUUGCCUGGGUCGGUGUGUGAUCACCAAAGGUGAAGUAAUCCUUUAGAUGCUCUCUCCACCCAUGCCGAAUACCCCCGACCGGUUCCGCCGAGUAAGACCAGGAGCUGGUUUGUGGAAUCACGGGGCCUUACUUAUUCAGGGGGGACUUGAUUCUGAAAUGGAAUGAUUGAUAGAAUCGAUAUUUCAUAGAAGAAUGACUGAGAUCAUAAAAUCCUUUCACACCCGUACAUGUGGCUGAAUAUAGUUGGAAGUUCACACACCCUGGAAAAAUCCAUCCUCUAUCCCUGACUUGCCAGCUUGAUCGCUUGUCUUAUUUACCCUUUCCUUAACGGGUGGUUUAUUUCUGGUCCUUUCGGGUCACCUGACCUGGGCUGAUGGUGCUUCGUAACGGCUUUUCUGGAGUCCAGAGGCUCUCUAAGGCUUUGAUGUACUAUUACCUGCCACCAAAACAUCGUGAGGGAUUCAGUGAACGUCUUGAAACUUAGUAACACAAGACAAUUCACUGAAUGGUUGUUGGCUCUACCAGAGGAGUUUGAAAUCAACAACGUGUAACUACUUGGGCAUUGAGACUUCCGCUGCUUGAGGAAGUAUGUGAAAGGAUCGAUGUUGAGCAGAAGUGGGGUUAAAAUAGCCAACAAUGCAUCCCCCUUUACUUAGUAUAGUAGGGCUUGAAAGACUGGACAACUUGUUUUUCUUUCCUGUCCAGUAUUUUCAAUCCAAGCAAAAAUAGGAAAAGCCGCAAGCACCACUAGGCCCGGUCAUUGGUUGAAUGUCAAUAUGGUUCGAUAUUCAUUCCUUACUCAAAUAGGAAGGUGGCAGUCUCAAUCUAGCGGCGUGGUCCAGAACAAUUUCGGAUCCAUGGGGUUUUUGUUUUGGUUACAAGAAGUGAUUCUUUACUCUCUUGCAGCGCCUCGACUCGAGUUUCCACUGUUGGAUUGAGUGAGGUGACAAGAGCUGAAGCCAAGGUUCCUUGCUACACUCCAUAGAUAUUCGUACGAUUCUUGUGGAUUUUGGGUGUGUUUGAAUUUAGCCUCUCGUUAGGUCUUCACUUAAGGAUUGUCCACCUUCUCAAGCCUCUCUACCAUACCCUUAGAAAGUGACAACGGAUGACUUCCAUUACUAAAUGGAAGAACUUUUCAAACUAGUUGAUAGUUGUUCCCUGCCCCACAAUGGGUUCUAAUUUACUAAAUCACAUGUUUCUAUAUUCGGAACAUCACAUGUAGACUUUUUUGGGGGAGAAUCACUCGGCGCGAGGCCUCCCGUGUGAGGUCAGGUGAUGGUCAACAACUCAGGUAGGAAAUGCUGAAAAACGGCUAAUGAUGCAAGAGCUCUUUUCCCCUUAUACGCUCUAAAAAAAGGUAUGUCGGGUUUUUGGACCCUAUGUUGAGUAAGGUUUCCAAACCUUCCAAAAGUGAUAGGUAUGUGUUCUUUCUUGGCACUCUCUUUCUAUAUUAUGCCAACCUAAAAAGAGCGAUGGAAGGUGAAUUUCAGGUUCGAUAGUCUCGAGAAGGUAUUAGCCACCGGUGAUCAUACUUUCGUAAAAGCACCAUUGGGCAGUGGUUCCUCUCCUUCCUCUUCAACCUCGAACAAAAAAUUGAUCUCGCCAUCAGUUCGACUAAGAGUUCUGAAUCAAAAAAGUCAACUAAACUUUACUUAAGACGAAGGAAGCGAGUGCUGAAAAAAACCCGCUUUCUUAAGGUUUCAAACUACUAGUCAUUAAGACUACUAUGAAUGAAAGGUAAGGAAGUCCUUUUCUUGACUUAGCCUGCGUGCAUUAUACCUAACCCUUUCCUAAGAUUUCAAUCUCAACAAAGAAAUGAAAGCAUAACUCUUUGCUUGCUUGUAACGCUUCUUAGUCUUUUAUUUUAGCCUGCCUUGUGAAGAUCUCUCGAGUGUCUACGGCAGAUCUGAUCAGUCUCGCGAUGAAGAGAAUUUCCGAUGUUGAAAGGUAUCAUCACGACAACUCAAUUUGUCCGGUAAACUACUCAGGGCUCCCCAUGGUUUAGUAAAAGGGAGGGGAUAUUUUUUCUUCAUUCGGGUUCAUUCAUUAUGAACUAAAAAGUGGUUGGCUGAUUAGUGAGGUCUUAAAAAUGUCAUAGAAUUCAUGAUCAGCCAUUCCAUUUUUGCUUUCAGCAAGUAAGCGACGCGAAUCUAUGCUUUCUAUCUUUCAAUCGGAUACCAAUUGCUUGGAUGCGUUUGAAAGCUUCGCGAUGACUUGCAGAAAAAAUGCUUUCUAGGUUUGUCUUGUGUCUACGAAACAAACGGUCCAUUUAUUGAUGGGUGAACGACGGGGAGUGAACCCGCGCGUGGUGGAUUCAUAAUCCACUGCCUUGAUCCACUUGGCUACAUCCGCUCCUACCCCCACACAGGUUGAAGUCUCUAUCUACGAUCAGACCCUUUCUGAACUCCCCUAUAACCGCUUAUCAAAUAGAAGCUUUUUCCAUCACUAUAGUGGCAAGUCUAUUGUUGUGUUUUGGAAUUAGGGGAAACAAAGCUUCAAACAAAGAGGUUGGGCUAUUCACUUCAUUGAUUUGACUUCACUUUACUUAAUAUUAAAGAUAGGAGCCGGGCGGGCAAUGAAGGCUCAUUUAGUAGAUAGCGAACGAGCUGCAAGCACCUACUCCUAUCAAAAUAAAAAGCAGGAAGCGAAACUUGAACUUGAAGAAGCGAGCCUCUAUCAGAGAAAGCCAUUGCGCACUAGCCCCUUGUAUAGGGUUCUAAACCUGUGACCCCUAAACUACAAGCUUUCUUUAAAGCCCCUACAACAUGGGAUAUUUGAAGAAUACCCUUUCUAUAAACCUUUCUAUAAUAUAAGAGAAGCUCUUCGAGCUUUCUUCGCAUGCUUAAGCGCAUCCCCUUUCUAUUAGUAAGGUUGUCAAAUUUCCUUUAGUUCCUUUGUGACUAUAAUAUAAAUAAUAGGGGUAGGGGGCGCUAACAAGCAAGAAAAAGGGUCCGCUAAGGCGCAACGGCUUUCACGCAGCUGCUAUGCCCUUGCUUCUUGCCUUAUCUUUUACUAAGAAAAUAAUCUAAAUAGAAGCCUUUCUUUCUCAAAGUCAACUUUCUCCCUUCUUGCUUUAGUGAAAUAGGGGGCGCUAACGCGACCUUUCUUCAACUGGUUUCACCCUAUCUAUUCAUCUAUUUUCUCAAAUGGAUAUUUAGGGAUCUCUCUUGUUAAUAGAUCUUAAAACCAGAUCAAUAUCCAUUUCUCAAUAAAUCUAUUUAUCGAUAGAAAGAUAUAGACAUCUAUAUAGAUCUAUCUCCAUAUCUAAAUAUGGAAGAACCGACACUUAAGGGCGUAACUAACAGAAGGUUCUCACCCUAUCCCCGACAUUAUUCUCCGACGAUGUCCCCUGGGUAAAAGGUGGCCCUUGGACCACUUGACUGGUUGGAAAGGAGCCACCAUUCUCUUUCUUUCUUCUUCCGAUCAGGACAAGUGGGUUGGUUUGUUUUGUCCUCCUAUCUAUGCAAUUCUCUAUCUUCGUUCGUGAUCAUGUUGGGCGAAAGGUAGUUGUAGAGGAGCGUUCAGCCACUAUAAGGAGAGGGCCUUUUUUUUUCUUUAUUUAUUUUAUUUUCUCAUAUUUUGCCUUCUAUAUCUUAUAUAGAUUUUUUAGCGUAUAAUAAUUACCAAUACGAGGACUAUCGACUUCGUUUUCAACUUAUAAUAGAAGGGUCUCCUCUUCCUUCAUUUCGAUUGCUUAUUAGCUUACCGGCUGAACCAUCAUCAUAUGCUUGCUUGGUCACUUUCGUGAUAAGGCGCUUAAAAGGAUUCUGGAUUAUAUAUAUUUUGGGAACUAAAAGAGUGGCUGUUGAAAGGAAAGGGAAGCCAAAAAUUCUAGGGAAUCGACGUCCCCCAAACCAUUAGACUUCCAGGGAAGAAGAGUCCGGUCGCUAUUAAAACCCUUCUCGUAAAUCGAGGAAAUAUCAAAUCCAAUUUCGAUACUGGGUAGGAUUCACCAGCCGCUAGACAUAGCACAGAAGCCAACAGUAGUAUGAAUGGGACAGGAACUAUUUGACCUCUUUCAGGAAAAGUCCGUACACAUGGGGACACUGGCUGAUCCCGCCGACAGGAGCAAAGAAAGGUCUCUUUCGCCUACGAGCAUUUUUAUGAAGAAAGGAGUCUCGUACAAAGGGUUGAAAAGAAGGAUUUUACCUUAUUUCAGGUGGGUUAGUACGUGUCUGUUUGGGCAGAGGCGGACAAUGAAAAGAUAGAAAAGAGCGAAUUAUGCCAACCAACUCGACAAAGACAUUCAGAUAUGAAAAAGAUAAAGAAAUACAUGUUAAGAUGUGUUUUCCCAGCCAACUCGUACACGACCGUCUUUCUUUCGAAAACUUACUCUUGAAAGCAUUACAUGUUGCUACUAGAGGGCAAAAGAAUUAGCUUAUGAUAAAGAAUAACAAGGAAAAAGCUUUUUUCCCCAACGGAGGUGAUAGACCACCUUAUGGCCGAUGUGAUUACCAGCCAAAGGGCAAAAAGAUGGGGUUGAAUGGGACUCUACCAAUACCAAUCUCCUCUGGAGCAAGGAAAAGCAACUCUGCCUGGUAUCUGUAACGAUUAACAUAUUCUUUUUUUUUAGAGAUGGGAACCCUUACUUAAGAAUAGAGAGUGGCCGAGCAGUAUAGUAGUCUUCUGGACAAACUUGGGGUAACAAUCUCGAUAGCAAAAUCGAUAAUAUCCGAGAACGGAACCAUCGAGUUUGCUAAGAGAUUUUGGACUAAGAAUAUGCAAAUAGACUUAUCGCCAAUUUCUCUUAGGGCAUUAACUGUUUGUCGAACGACUGUGGGUCUUUGCCAAUUGUCAGUAAGAUAUUCAAUUUCUAUAUCGAUGCUUCAAAGGCUGGGAGGGGCAGGAUUCAGAGUUCGGUCACGCUUAUAUUCUACUCAAUCUAAGCGUUGGGAAUGAUUGAAAGCUGCUGCUCAGAAACCACACAGGUCACACUUACUAUCUUUAGAAUAUUGGAUUAGAAGGAAGGGCUUCGCUUUUCGAUUGCUUUUUGAGGCCGGUUUGGAUGAGCGUGGGCAAUUUUAGGAUUCACUAUCGCUUUCUGCUUGGAGCGGCUCACCCCCUUAUCACUUAAAGGGCGAAGUCGCUGAAGCGAGUCGAAAGGCCAAAGAGUCAUCUUUGAAGGCUACUAUGCAUCGUUAUUCAUAGUAGAGUGUAAGGUAGAUUUGGGUAUAGCAGGACUUGAACCUUCGACUAUUAGGUUAAAAGCCCAAUGCUCUACCAACUGAGCUAUACACCCAAAAAAAGAUGUAGUAGUAAAUAAGGAUUGGUACGAAAAAGAGGCCGGGCCCCCUUCUUCUCAUCAUACUACAGAGCAAGUAGAAGAAAACAUAAGGUCGCGCGUUAGCACUUCGGAAAGAAAAAGAAUGUGCUAAGGCGCAAGGGCUUUCGCGCAGCUGCUACGCCCUUGCUUCUUGCCCUUUAUUUCAAACUCAAGAAAAGCCUUGUUCGAUAUGAGAAAGAUGCACUCAAGUGGCCAACCUAUACAAGGGGCUUGGGCUCGAAAGCUGGCCUUACUCAAUAAGCACCUUUCUUAGUAAGGUUGCUUCUUUCCACCCAUUGAAGAUUCUAUCUACAAAAGAAGGUCAACGGGGGAUACUCAAAUUGCUCUCACUGACACCAGAGAAGGUGAGGUCAACUUUCUUUCCAGCCACCAUAUGGUUUACCUUAAAGCCUUAAGGAGAAGGGGAUGAGCAGUUAUCUAUGUAAUUACGGUCUUUGUUGGCCGUUGUUCCGGUCGAGCACUCUCUUUUCUUUGUCCAAUUCUAUCCUACCAAACAAGAUUGACUUCUUACCAACCCGCGAAGGGUUGUGAGGCUGGACCAGGUACGAGGAAUGAAUCUAUAUCUGUGUAUGGAAGUUUCUGGCCGGCGGCCGCUCAACUGUUCGAGCGCAAUGCAGUGGUGUUGGUUCCGAUUCGACAAAGGUAGAACGCUUGGUCGAAGGUCCAGUAUAGUAGGUAGCAAGCGUGUUCGUUUUGGCUCCCAAGCGAGAAUGAUAAAUAGGUGAUGCACCAUCCUUACUGCUACGUACAUUUUCCUUGACUUGACAGAUUCAUUCAAUUGAACCCACACUCAAAGGAGGACCACAAACUUGGGGCUCGACGAAACAGAAAGUUUCAGCAUGUUGAAAAUAGGGUUAGCAUAAAAGAAAGAGCCCAACAUUCAUUUCUGAAUGAAUAUUCAUAGCUGAGUCUACUAAAAGAGGGACCAGCCUCGUUGUGGUGAUUAAAGGACACCUCUGAUUGUUCACCUCUAAUGUGACACGUUCCCUCCCAGUUAUAUGAUCAACGGGAUCAGUCAUCUAGAGAGAAGGGCUAUUCUUCUUUCGGGGAGACAAAGUCAUCCCUUCUACUGAUCGAACCCUCAGUUCGAGGGCCUUCAUCAACAUGUUACGAAGCUCCAGUCUUCGAUGGGUCACCAUUACUUGACUUAGAAAGGCGAACAUCUGGGCAAGGGAAAACGUAGUGCGCCUGGUGCAAAUGGCUUUCUUUUUUCAUGAUAUACCAAUCAGAAUAUAGGGUCCUACCUACGUACAUCAUUGAUAGAAUCACUACGUAGGGGGGUGGUCAACUUGAUGCGGGAGAGGCAUGAGUGUAGUUCAAUCUUGUGGUGUAUUCAUUUAUAGUGAGUAGGGCCUCUUUCUCAUUGAUCAGUUCGCCUCCGCUCUAUUGAAAGGUAGGAAUUCCUACGACGGUUUUGUCAACGAACGCGUCUCGGGCCGGAUUGACUAACCUAAACCACCCUGUUGGAGUCUUUUCCAUAGUUGGGUGUCCGCUUUAGUGUGGUUUACGAAGGCUAGGCUAGGUUUGGUAAUAUCCAAAACAAAUGAAAAGAGAUCGGGGUUGAUAGGUGGUAGUUGGCAAGGAACUUGAUCCCCCCCCCCAAAAAAAAGGGGGAAGCCGCAGUCAAACUUAAAUUCUGGAAAUAAGUCUGGCCCUUUUUACCAAGUCUACCAGAUAGAAGAUGAUAGAGGGCCAACUAUCGUUGCCUUGCACAAGACGGUGCCCUUUCACUUUGAGUUCCUUCCUUCGUAGUCAAAUCUGAUGAUACUCUUUGGUGAUGUUACCUACCAAAUAAAAGGCCUACUGGGUGAUCGAAAUCUCUCAGGUGAGGACUCACUCACUCAUCUACUCCUUAUCUAUUUAAUACUUUCUUCUAUCUACAACAAAUAUUUCAAAGGCGACCCACCGCGCCGGGCUAUAAGAUAAGAUACAGUUCUUGUACUACUUGAUUGACUGGUAAGAAAGAGCUUCCAUAAGAACAGGAAGACUCUUGUAUGUACGGUAACCCUCUCUUCCGCUACUGGUGGACUAUUGCACAGAAAGGGCGAUAAAAAGAACCUUUCUUAGCGCGUUUUUUAAGUGCUUAUCUUCUACUAGUGGGGGGCGGCAAGGCCACGUUGUUCAGUUGGAAGCCUAAGCCCAGAAGGUAUGAACGAAGUAA
rnacentral:lncRNA from 1 species